rnacentral:rRNA from 1 species
GUGGGGAAUAUUGGACAAUGGGCGAAAGCCUGAUCCAGCAACGCCGCGUGAGGGACGACGGCCUUCGGGUUGUAAACCUCUUUCAGCGGGGACGAAGCGCAAGUGACGGUACCCGCAGAAGAAGCACCGGCCAACUACGUGCCAGCAGCCGCGGUAAUACGUAGGGUGCGAGCGUUGUCCGGAAUUAUUGGGCGUAAAGGGCUCGUAGGCGGUCUGUCACGUCGGGAGUGAAAACUCAGGGCUUAACCCUGAGCCUGCUUUCGAUACGGGCAGACUAGAGGUAUGCAGGGGAGAACGGAAUUCCUGGUGUAGCGGUGAAAUGCGCAGAUAUCAGGAGGAACACCGGUGGCGAAGGCGGUUCUCUGGGCAUUACCUGACGCUGAGGAGCGAAAGUGUGGGGAGCGAACAGG